rnacentral:rRNA from 1 species
GAUGAACGCUAGCUACAGGCUUAACACAUGCAAGUCGAGGGCAGCGCAGUGUAGCAAUACAGUGGGCGGCGACCGCGCACGGGUGCGUAACGCGUAUCCAACCUUCCCGAUACUCUUGGAUAGCCUUCCGAAAGGGAGAUUAAUACAAGAUGGUGUUUCACUUUCGCAUGUUAUUGAAACUAAAGAUUUAUCGGUAUCGGAUGGGGAUGCGUGACAUUAGAUAGUAGGCGGGGUAACGGCCCACCUAGUCUACGAUGUCUAGGGGUUCUGAGAGGAAGGUCCCCCACACUGGAACUGAGACACGGUCCAGACUCCUACGGGAGGCAGCAGUGAGGAAUAUUGGUCAAUGGUCGGAAGACUGAACCAGCCAAGUAGCGUGAAGGAUGAAGGUUCUAUGGAUUGUAAACUUCUUUUAUACGGGAAUAAAACCUCCCACGUGUGGGAGCUUGUAUGUACCGUAUGAAUAAGCAUCGGCUAACUCCGUG